rnacentral:rRNA from 1 species
GAUGAACGCUGGCGGCGUGCCUAAUACAUGCAAGUCGAGCGAACAGAUGAGGAGCUUGCUCCUCUGACGUUAGCGGCGGACGGGUGAGUAACACGUGGAUAACCUACCUAUAAGACUGGGAUAACUUCGGGAAACCGGAGCUAAUACCGGAUAAUAUAUUGAACCGCAUGGUUCAAUAGUGAAAGACGGUUUUGCUGUCACUUAUAGAUGGAUCCGCGCCGCAUUAGCUAGUUGGUAAGGUAACGGCUUACCAAGGCAACGAUGCGUAGCCGACCUGAGAGGGUGAUCGGCCACACUGGAACUGAGACACGGUCCAGACUCCUACGGGAGGCAGCAGUAGGGAAUCUUCCGCAAUGGGCGAAAGCCUGACGGAGCAACGCCGCGUGAGUGAUGAAGGUCUUCGGAUCGUAAAACUCUGUUAUUAGGGAAGAACAAAUGUGUAAGUAACGAUGCACGUCUUGACGGUACCUAAGCAGAAAGCCACGGCUAACUACGG